rnacentral:rRNA from 1 species
GAUGAACGCUGGCGGCGUGCCUAAUACAUGCAAGUCGAGCGAACAGACGAGGAGCUUGCUCCUCUGACGUUAGCGGCGGACGGGUGAGUAACACGUGGAUAACCUACCUAUAAGACUGGGAUAACUUCGGGAAACCGGAGCUAAUACCGGAUAAUAUAUUGAACCGCAUGGUUCAAUAGUGAAAGACGGUUUUGCUGUCACUUAUAGAUGGAUCCGCGCCGCAUUAGCUAGUUGGUAAGGUAACGGCUUACCAAGGCAACGAUGCGUAGCCGACCUGAGAGGGUGAUCGGCCACACUGGAACUGAGACACGGUCCAGACUCCUACGGGAGGCAGCAGUAGGGAAUCUUCCGCAAAGGGCGAAAGCCUGACGGAGCAACGCCGCGUGAGUGAUGAAGGUCUUCGGAUCGUAAAUCUCUGUUAUUAGGGAAGAACAAAUGUGUAAGUAACUAUGCACGUCUUGACGGUACCUAAUCAGAAAGCCACGGCUAACUACGUG